UGUAUUGCUACGUGCCCAAGUGCCGCCUGUUUAUCAAAACAUCGCCUCUUGACUUUUAUAAGAGGUCCAGCCUGCCCAGUGACCAUGUUCAACGGCCGCGGUAUCCUAACCGUGCGAAGGUAGCGUAAUCACUUGUUCUUUAAAUGUGGACUAGUAUGAAUGGCACCACGAAGGUUAUACUGUCUCCUUUUUCUAAUCAGUGAAACUAAUCUUCCCGUGAAGAAGCGGGAAUAUAUUUAUAAGACGAGAAGACCCUAUGGAGCUUUAAACAACACAGCAAUUACCUACUAAACUAUUAAGUUUCUGAAUAUUAACACUUUUAAGUAAUCUGACUGUAAGUUUUUGGUUGGGGUGACCACGGAGCAUAACACAACCUCCAUGCUGAAAGAACUUUUUCUAAGCUAAGAACGACCCAUCUAAGCAUCAACAUAUUGACAUUCAUUGACCCAAUACAUUUGACCAACGAACCAAGUUACCCUAGGGAUAACAGCGCAAUCCACUUCAAGAGCUCCUAUCGACAAGUGGGUUUACGACCUCGAUGUUGGAUCAGGGUAUCCCAGUGGUGCAGCCGCUACUAAAGGUUCGUUUGUUCAACGAUUAAAACCCUACGUGAUCUGAGUUCAGACCGGGCACUUGGGCACGUAGCAACA
rnacentral:rRNA from 1 species